UACGUAGGGUGCAAGCGUUGUCCGGAAUUAUUGGGCGUAAAGAGCUCGUAGGCGGUUCGAUAAGUCAGGUGUAAAAACUCCAGGCUCAACUUGGAGAGGCCACCUGAUACUGUCGUGACUAGAGUCCGGUAGAGGAGCACGGAAUUCCUGGUGUAGCGGUGAAAUGCGCAGAUAUCAGGAGGAACACCAGCGGCGAAGGCGGUGCUCUGGGCCGGAACUGACGCUGAGGAGCGAAAGCGUGGGGAGCGAACAGG
rnacentral:rRNA from 1 species